rnacentral:lncRNA from 1 species
CUUGGAUGAGUAUAUUUUCAAUAGAAACAAACAAAAACAUCAUUCAAAUCCCGUACGAGGAGAUAAUUAAUUUUUAGUGAAGAAGGGUCUGAACUAUCAGACAACAUAACAGGGGUGAAUUUAAAGAAUAAACUGUACUUAUUGGCUAAACCAAAAAUUCUGAAAAUUUUAUGGUAAGAAGAUAUGUAAGUCUAGUUUCAAGGACAAUUAGCG